rnacentral:rRNA from 1 species
AUGGACAUGAACACGAUGACACGAAUGCCCCGCCAUUUCAUAAGGCGGCGAUGGACUUGGGACGCUGAUGACGCGUUGGCGCCGCAGACAACAAACGCAGUUCUGGCUGUGCAUGACGAGAGACCGGGGUCAACCAUGGAAGCCGUGAGGCACUUUGUGUUGACAAAGAAUUAUGCUAAGCUAAUUGAUGAAGCGUGCAAGAGUGAUGAGACAGCGAGAGUCGCAGAAAAACACAGGAAGGUCCUGAAAAGAGAGCUUGAUGAGAUCAAGAAGAGAAAAGCUGAGGAAGCCUUACACAGGUUCCCCCGCACAUCAAGUGUGCCUUCGUCCAGGGGGCCAUCAUCUGAAAACUCGGAGAUAGGAUCUGGAACAACAACACACAAACCCAGGUCAGGAACCCGCCCCGUUCCAUCACAAAGGGGCGUCCAAAAGAGAUAA